UACGAAGGGUGCAAGCGUUACUCGGAAUUACUGGGCGUAAAGCGUGCGUAGGUGGUUCGUUAAGUCUGAUGUGAAAGCCCUGGGCUCAACCUGGGAAUGGCAAUGGAUACUGGCGACCUAGAGUGCGGUAGAGGGUGGCGGAAUUCCCGGUGUAGCAGUGAAAUGCGUAGAUAUCGGGAGGAACAUCCGUGGCGAAGGCGGCCACCUGGACCAGCACUGACACUGAGGCACGAAAGCGUGGGGAGCAAACAGG
rnacentral:rRNA from 1 species